AUUUCAAUUUUAGUUCAUGUAGAAAAGUCAAUAUUAUAUGAUGUGGUUCGAGUGACGCUUGGAACAAAACUAAUAUUAUAUGUUGUGGUUUCGGGUUUAGAGGGAUUACAGGCUUCGAUCCAAAACCUCCUGGUAUUA
rnacentral:sRNA from 1 species